AUAUAGCGCAAACAAAUUCUGCAGCGCUUUACAGUGGGUGGACGAACAAACGUAGUUGUAACCAGACAAGUUGGACACACAGGAACAGAGGGGUCGAGGGCCCGGCUCAAUGAGCUUACAUAGUUACACACAUGCAGAUACAUACACACAGUCACACACAGAUACAGACACACAUGCAGCAACACAGACACAAACACUGACAGAUAUUGACACACAGGUACACACAUGCAGAUACAUAGAUACACAGUCGCACAUAGAUACACAGAUACAAACAUCUAUGUGCGACUGUGUGUAUAUGUAUCUGUUGUGCCAAAUCACCAAAUUCGUGAUCAUAAGUACCUAAUAAGGUCUGUAACGAUACUGACGGUCACACUGCCCAAUUUUCAUUUCUAACCAAGUCUGGACUGCUCUGUUCUUUUCCUUCCCAGUCCUGUAAUCAAAAAAGGCAUUACUAUAAUUUUCUUUGGAUUCUCAUAAAUUAACGUGGCUUCGACUCCAGUGUCUACUAGGGCAGUAACCCUUUGAACAUUUUUAUUUUUCCAAUAUAUUUCCACAUUUACAUGGGGCCUGCAAUCUGGCCCACUUGUCAAUUAUUACAAGGUGAAUUGGCCUCAGGGGAACGAGAAGGUGCCAACUCUCCACUGGGCAUUAGCCCUUCUAGGAUUUCAUCUAGAUCUUCAAGGUGGGGCAAUUCCCUCUCAGAGUAACUCUGUCUGUUUUCUCUCACCUGGGUUUUAUCAAGAUUAGGAUAAAGAGGAGGAAUCUUCUUAUCUGAUUCCUGUGCCUCUUGUCUUUCCCUCAGGCCCCGCAUGGGAUUUGCUAUCUCAUUUAGCUUUUUAAAGUUUCUCUCAAUCUCAACCCCUGCCAAGGCGGGUAAGGGUAUUACCUUGUAGCCUUGAAAUGGGGGUGCUGUAGGUAUUACAGAAGGGAGUGGUGGCACUGAGGGUGCCACAGGAGGAGAGGAUGGUGGUUUCUCAGGCCAUACCCAUGGCAUUUCUGUGGUUUGUUUACUUGCCUUUGCUUCCUUAUAACGUAAUCCUUUUAGUUUGUACAAUCUUCACCACGUUGGGGUGUCUUUCCCAUCAAUUUGUUCCCUGCUUACCCCUUCCCUGAGGAGGGCUAGGAACAUUUCCUUUCUACUUACCCGAUCUGCUGCUCCAGGAUUACCCUCCCUCGGUGCUUCAUGGGGUGGUCUAUAGCCUGGUGAAUCUGUCCUAUCUCUCGGAAACCCUGGGAGCCCAAUCUCCCAGUUCCCCUAACUGCGUAAUGGCUUCCGUCACUAUCUGCAGAGAGUUUCCUGUCUGAUUUAUCAGCAGAGUCAUUAUCACCUGCUUAUAAGCUGGAGGGGCAGUCUUAAUUAGGGAUUCACAGAAAAUUUGUCUGCCGAAUUUUGCGGCCAAAAAUGGGCCUAUCCCAUUUCGGACGAAAAAGGGUCAAAUCUGCCAAAAAUUACUGAAUCUCUAGUUCUAGAACGUGUCACGCUGUGACUCCCCUUGACUGUCACGUGACUCAGGGUCUCCCUUUCACUCGCAUAGAAAGAGAAAAAAAAAACUUGUGACACAUGCAGGAAUGCACGGAUGGGAAGUCUUGCGAUGUUUCCCUCGGUCUGCUGUGCACUCUUCAAAGAGAGCCGAAAGAGUGGGAGGGGCUUCUGCCUCGUCAUGUGACUUGAGCCCGC